rnacentral:rRNA from 1 species
GCAAUGCCGCGUGUGUGAAGAAGGCCUCUCGGGUUGUAAAGCACUUUUGUCCGGAAAGAAAUCCUUGGCUCUAAUACAGUCGGGGGAUGACGGUACCGGAAGAAUAAGCACCGGCUAACUACGUGCCAGCAGCCGCGGUAAUACGUAGGGUGCGAGCGUUAAUCGGAAUUACUGGGCGUAAAGCGUGCGCAGGCGGUUUGCUAAGACCGAUGUGAAAUCCCCGGGCUCAACCUGGGAACUGCAUUGGUGACUGGCAGGCUAGAGUAUGGCAGAGGGGGGUAGAAUUCCACGUGUAGCAGUGAAAUGCGUAGAGAUGUGGAGGAAUACCGAUGGCGAAGGCAGCCCCCUGGGCCAAUACUGACGCUCAUGCACGAAAGCGUGGGGAGCAAACAGGAUUAGAUACCCUGGUAGUCCACGCCCUAAACGAUGUCAACUAGUUGUUGGGGAUUCAUUUCCUUAGUAACGUAGCUAACGCGUGAAGUUGACCGCCUGGGGAGUACGGUCGCAAGAUUAAAACUCAAAGGAAUUGACGGGGACCCGCACAAGCGGUGGAUGAUGUGGAUUAAUUCGAUGCAACGCGAAAAACCUUACCUACCCUUGACAUGGUCGGAAUCCUGC